rnacentral:rRNA from 1 species
GGGGAAUCUUGGACAAUGGGCGCAAGCCUGAUCCAGCCAUGCCGCGUGAGUGAAGAAGGUCUUCGGAUUGUAAAGCUCUUUUGCCAGGGACGAUAAUGACGGUACCUGGAGAAUAAGCCCCGGCAAACUUCGUGCCAGCAGCCGCGGUAAUACGAAGGGGGCUAGCGUUGUUCGGAAUUACUGGGCGUAAAGCGCACGUAGGCGGGUCGUUAAGUCAGGGGUGAAAUCCCGGAGCUCAACUCCGGAACUGCCUUUGAUACUGGCGAUCUCGAGAUCGGAAGAGGUGAGUGGAAUUCCCAGUGUAGAGGUGAAAUUCGUAGAUAUUGGGAAGAACACCAGUGGCGAAGGCGGCUCACUGGUCCGAUACUGACGCUGAGGUGCGAAAGCGUGGGGAGCAAAC